rnacentral:misc_RNA from 1 species
CAACCCCCCAAGCCCUGGCUGCUUGGUGUUGGGGCUUAAUCUGCAGCGCCUUUACGGCGGCUGCCGGCCCCUAAUUACAAUGGCGGCCCCGCCGAGGCCCCGAGCGCAGUAGUGUAUCUCCUCGCUCCAGGGCGCCGCGGCGGGCUCUCCUGCCGUAAAACCCCCACUAUUUUUCAA